rnacentral:tRNA from 1 species
UUUUAUGAAGUAAAAUUUACAUUUAAUUUCGGCUUAAAUUUAUGACUAUUUAGUCCUUAAUUA